rnacentral:lncRNA from 1 species
AGUAUUCACCAUUAUAGGGAGUUUUGUUUUUAAGCCCCUCAAUGGAUCUUCUUUUAAUGAAGAACUAAACUGCAGGGUCUGAAGGUGGGCAGGAGGAAUUGCUCAUACUCACAGAGCUGAAUUUCUCCCUGAGGAAGCCAGACAGGGGCUAGAAAAUUUCCUAAUGGGUAUAUCUUAUGGCUCACCAAAGCACUCCCACCUGGCCUCCACAAUGGCUCUGUGGAUGCAUCACUUCUAUAUUAUAAAGAGAACAGGGAAUCCAGGCCUGGAACACCCCAAGCCUUAUCCCCCAGGUGUUGGAAAGAGGAUGUAGCCAUCCCAACCCUCAACAGGAAAGGGUGGAAAAUGCUGCACUGUGCAAG